CGGAUAGAGGCGCAGGCUUCAUCAGUACCGUUUGACCACGCGGGGGUGACCGUAAACGGGAAAGGGGAGACUGCCGAGGGGUAUGCGGCUCACCGCGCCGUAUAUUGCCGGUACGUCGGAGAAUAUCCGCCGUGCUGUCACAUAUAUCUGUGGAGAGCUAUCGG
rnacentral:ncRNA from 1 species